UACGAAGGGGGCUAGCGUUGUUCGGAAUUACUGGGCGUAAAGCGCGCGCAGGCGGCUAUCCAAGUCAGGUGGUGAAAGCCCGGAGCUCAACUCCGGAACUGCCAUUGAAACUGUUUAGCUUGAGGAUGAGAGAGGUGAGUGGAAUUCCCAGUGUAGAGGUGAAAUUCGUAGAUAUUGGGAAGAACACCAGUGGCGAAGGCGGCUCACUGGUCCGGUACUGACGCUGAGGUGCGAAAGCGUGGGGAGCAAACAGG
rnacentral:rRNA from 1 species